rnacentral:rRNA from 1 species
GAUGAACGCUAGCGGCGUGCUUUAUGCAUGCAAGUCGAACGGUCUCGAUUUAUCGAGAUAGUGGCGAACGGGUGAGUAACGCGUAAGUAACUUGCCCUUAAGUAGGGGAUAACUCCGAGAAAUUGGAGCUAAUACCGCAGUGGUGGUGGAGGUAAGGCUUCAUCACUAAAGCCUUCGGGUGCUUAAGGAGGGGCUUGCGUCCGAUUAGCUAGUUGGUAGAGUAACGGUCUACCAAGGCGAUGAUCGGUAGCUGGUUUGAGAGGACGGCCAGCCACACUGGGACUGCGACACGGCCCAGACUCCUACGGGAGGCAGCAGCAAGGAAUUUUGUGCAAUGGGCGAAAGCCUGACACAGCGACGCCGCGUGGGGGAUGAAGGCCUUCGGGUUGUAAACCCCUUUUAUCAGGGAAGAAUAAUGACGGUACCUGAGGAAUAAGCCUCGGCUAACUACGUGCCAGCAGCCGCGGUAAUACGUAGGAGGCAAGCGUUAUCCGGAUUUACUGGGCGUAAAGCGGGCGCAGGCGGCCUUUCAAGUCGGAUGUAAAAUCUCCCGGCUCAACUGGGAGGGAUCAUUCGAUACUGUUGGGCUAGAGGACAGCAGAGGGAGGUGGAAUUCCCGGUGGAGUGGUGAAAUGCGUAGAUAUCGGGAGGAACACCAGUGGCGAAGGCGGCCUCCUGGGCUGUUUCUGACGCUGAGGCCCAAAAGCGUGGGGAGCGAACAGGAUCAGAUACCCUGGUAGUCCACGCCCUAAACGAUGGACACUAGGUAUGGGGAGUAUUGACCCUCUCCGUGCCGAAGCUAACGCUUUAAGUGUCCCGCCUGGGGACACGACCGCAAGGUU